AAAAAAAUCUAUAAACACAGAUAUAAAAAGCUACUGUUGCCUCUGUUCAAGUUCCCAUCACAUGUGACCUGAUUUUCUUAUCUUCUGUGAUGUCUGGACCCUUAUUUCCCAGAGAAAGCCAAGGCGAAUUGCUUUCAGGAGUCUCUAUCUCUGUCUGCAAACCAAACCCAGUUUGCCCAUUAGGCAGACAUCUGGUGUGGAGACCACGGCAAAACUUCCUCAUGGAGCCUCAAUCUGAGUGGAAGGCCAAGCUGUACUUGGUCAGAAUUCAUCUGGAGAUCAAGAGGAGGAGAAGGAAAGAAAGCACAUUGGUCCAUAUCGAUAACAUGGGCAUGAAUGUUGACCAAAAAACAUUUCUGAGACAGUUUCUCCAGGGAUGAGAGUAGGCAGUCACCUCCUGGUAAGUGUUUGGCUGCUGCUAGGACUCUGAAAUAGGUUGGACAAAGGCUCCCACCACCUGAUCUUCACCAAGAGAAGCAGGAGUAGAGCCAGUGGCAGUAAGAGGACUAAGUGGAAACAUCUUUGUUUUAAUUUGAAGAAGGUAAACAAGUCUACCUGUCUUCUAAAAUGUUUCUUUUGUUGGCACCAAAACCAAUGCUUUGUUUAACACACAUGGGGUUUUGGUUCCAUGAGUCUCUUGUUGAAAUGGGUAAGUUACCUUUGGGUAUAAUCAAACUCUAACCUGUUCUUUUAUUAUUGAGGCUGGAGUAUCUUAGAAGCUAUCUAGUUCCCUAUUCCUUCAUUUUGAAUAUUUGGCUCAAGAUGAAAAAUAAUUUGCAGGGUGUGAGACAGUCAGCACCUGAAUUUAGAUCUCUUGAUUUCUCAUCCAGAAUUCUUUUCAUCUUAGCACACUAUCUUCUGUCCAGUGAUAAGUAUUAUAAUAUUCUGAAAAGGAUAAAACACAAUUUUUUUAUCAUUAACCUUGAAGAUGGCAUUUCUGGGCCUACAAAUAGCAACAUCACCUAUGUCCUUGAAUGUAGCAUAUGACAUUAUAUAUAGUUGUUCCUCUCUUUGAGGAUUGGGGCGGGAUAGAGGUAAGGGACAAAAGCUGACAAAUAUUCUCUUCUAUGCUCAGUACAUAUUAAUAUUAUAGAGAAUGCACUUACUGCUAUGUUUGGAUAUAGUGUGACCAAAACUAGUGUUGAAAUUUUAUCCCCAGUGUAGUGGUAUUGGGAGGUGGAGGCUAAUGAGAAGUAUCUGGGUUGGAGUAGGGAAUGAAUCCCUUGUGAAUGGCUUACAGCUGUUCUAGCAGUAGUGCAUUCACCCUCUGGCAAGAUGGGAUUAGUGCUUGAGACAAUGGAAUUAAUUCCCUGAAGAGUGGGUUGUGGGCCAGGUGCAGUGGCUCACACCUGUAAUCCCAGCACUUUGGGAGACCAAGGUGGGUAGAUCAUCUGAGGUCAGGAGUUCAAGACCAGCCUGGCCAGCAUAGUGAACCCCAAUCUCUACUAAAAAUACAAAAAUUAGCUGGAUGUGGUGGCAUGUGCCUGUAAUCACAGCUACUCAGAAGGCUGAGGCAAGAGAAUCACUUGAACCCAGAGGCAGAGGGUGAAGUGAGCUGAGAUUGCAUCACUGCUCCAGCCUGGGCAACAGAGCAAAACUCUGUCUCAAAAAGAAAAAAAAAAAAAGUGGGCUGUUAAUAAAGCCAUGAUGCCCCUUGGGUUUUCUCUCUUCUCACGCUUCCUACUUUCACCUUGUCCACCAUGUUGUGACACACAGUGUAAGCUCUCACCAUGCUUUUGAACUUUCCGGCCUGCAGAACCAUUAGCUAAAUAAGUCUAUUUUCUCUAUAAAUUUCCCGGCCUCAAGUAUUCUAUCGUAGCAACACAAAAGAG
ensembl:lncRNA